GAGCCUGCGGCUUAAUUUGACUCAACACGGGGAAACUCACCAGGUCCAGACACAAUGAGGAUUGACAGAUUGAGAGCUCUUUCUUGAUUUUGUGGGUGGUGGUGCAUGGCCGUUCUUAGUUGGUGGAGUGAUUUGUCUGCUUAAUUGCGAUAACGAACGAGACCUUAACCUGCUAACUAGCCCGUAUUGCUUUGGCAGUACGCUGGCUUCUUAGAGGGACUAUCGGCUCAAGCCGAUGGAAGUUUGAGGCAAUAACAGGU
rnacentral:rRNA from 1 species